AGUGAACGCUGGCGGUAGGCCUAACACAUGCAAGUCGAACGGCAGCACAGGAGAGCUUGCUCUCUGGGUGGCGAGUGGCGGACGGGUGAGGAAUACAUCGGAAUCUACCUUUUCGUGGGGGAUAACGUAGGGAAACUUACGCUAAUACCGCAUACGACCUUCGGGUGAAAGCAGGGGACCUUCGGGCCUUGCGCGGAUAGAUGAGCCGAUGUCGGAUUAGCUAGUUGGCGGGGUAAAGGCCCACCAAGGCGACGAUCCGUAGCUGGUCUGAGAGGAUGAUCAGCCACACUGGAACUGAGACACGGUCCAGACUCCUACGGGAGGCAGCAGUGGGGAAUAUUGGACAAUGGGCGCAAGCCUGAUCCAGCCAUACCGCGUGGGUGAAGAAGGCCUUCGGGUUGUAAAGCCCUUUUGUUGGGAAAGAAAAGCAGCCAGUUAAUACCUGGUUGUUCUGACGGUACCCAAAGAAUAAGCACCGGCUAACUUCGUGCCAGCCGCCGCCGUAA
rnacentral:rRNA from 1 species